CGGACGGGUGAGUAACACGUGGAUAACCUACCUAUAAGACUGGGAUAACUUCGGGAAACCGGAGCUAAUACCGGAUAAUAUAUUGAACCGCAUGGUUCAAUAGUGAAAGACGGUUUUGCUGUCACUUAUAGAUGGAUCCGCGCCGCAUUAGCUAGUUGGUAAGGUAACGGCUUACCAAGGCAACGAUGCGUAGCCGACCUGAGAGGGUGAUCGGCCACACUGGAACUGAGACACGGUCCAGACUCCUACGGGAGGCAUCAGCA
rnacentral:rRNA from 1 species